AGAGAAGGCAGCCACCUGCAAGCCAGGAAGAAGGUCACACCAGACACCAACCAUGCUGGCAUCUGGACCUUAGACUUCCAGGCUCCAGAAUCGUGAGAAAAUAAAUGCCUAUUAUUUAAGCCCCAGUCUGUGGCAUUCUGUUACAGCAGCCUGAGCUGACUGAGACACAGACCCUCCAAGAAAAAAAGGGAAGGACUUCUGCUUGGGUGCCAAAAGUGUGCAGAGCUGCUCUGCCCGGGACCUGUGUCAUCCUUCUUCCAUCUCUUCUACACAUGCUGGUUCCCUCCACCAGACUCUGGCCUGUCCUGUCUGCAGGGUGAAGUCUAAUGGGACCAUGGAGUGGGCACAUGAGCUGGAGAUUCAUGCAAUAGACAUGCCUGCUGUUCCUUGCUGCCUUGUCAGCAUGUGGUGUUCUUGAUGCCCCAUGAGCAUAGCAUUCCAGGGAAACCAUGAUGCAUGGAAGUGUGACUCAAAAGGUCCCACAUUUUCAUUUUGAACAAGGAGCCCCACAGUUGUGAGAACAGCCUGACAGAGGGCAUGGAGACUGAGGAUAGGAGGCCCACUCAGAUCCCAGAGUUAUUCAGAGAGGAAGAAACCAAUGCUUUGAAAGGUUGAGCAACCUGUCCACAUCACUUGACCGGCAAGCAGCACAGCCAAUGACCGUGGACCCAUAGACCUCAGCCACCAACUUCUGUGCUGUCCUGCCUGCUAGGUGUAACAUACCUAAUUCUUUUGCCCCUGUCUCCUUGGAUGUCAGGCUCCUCCUGGGCUGGCCUAUGUAACCAGUAGAAAACUGUGGAAGUGAUGGGGCAGGACCAGUAGAAUACUAGAGAAGUGAUGGCGUGGGACAACUUCCAAGGCCGCAUCACAGAAGGCAUUGCAGCUUCUGCCGUGGUCUCCUGGACUGCACACUGGGCAAGCCAGGCACCAUACUGUGAGGAUGCUCAAGCAGCCCCGAGGAGAGGCACACGUGGAGAGGAACUGAGGCCUCCUGCCAACAGCCACGUGAGUGCACCACCCAGAAGUGGGUCCUUCAGCCUCAGACAGGCUUUCAGAGGACUGGAGCCCUUGCUGACCUCUGACUGCAGUCCUGUGAGAGACCCUAAGACACAACUUCCCACUCACACUGCUCCUGAAUUCCUGACCACAGAAACUGUGAGAGAUGUGAAGUGCUUAUUGUGGGAAGCUUUGUUAUGUACUUUCUUACAUAAUGCUAGAUUACAAGUGCAGUUGCUGCCCAUGGGUGCCACCUGCUGGUGUUCCUGCCCCUGUGUACCCCCUCCCCUUGAGUGUGUGCCGUGAUGGGAUGUCACUCUGAGACUGCACAGCAAAGCCUCUGGCUUCUACCUUUCUCACUCUCUUGCUCUCUUGUCUCCCUUGCUCUGAGGGAAACUGGCUGCCAUGUUAUAAGCUGCUCUAUGGAGAGGCCCAUGUGGCUAAGAAUUGAGGGAGGCCUCCUGCUGAUAGCCAGUGAGGACCUAAGGACCUCAGUCCCACAUCUGGUGCAGAGCUGCACUGGCCAACAACCAUGUGGCUGAGCUUGGAAGUGGAUCCUCCCCCAACUGAACCUUGAAAUGACAGACGCUCCAGCAGGCACCAUGAUGCCAGCCUUGUAAGAGACCCUGAGCCAGAACACACAGCUGAGAUGUGUCUGGAUUCCUGACCUGCAGAAACUGUGUGGCAAUAAACAUUUGUUGUUUUAAAGCUGCUAAGUUUGGGGGCCAUUUGUUACACAGCAGCAGAUAACAAAUACAGUUCUGAUUAAUGGCACCAGCCUCACCUGUCCUAUUCCUAGAUAUGCUUAGCUUAGCUUUGGUCUAGACUUGGGUCUCCAUGUACAACUAUAACCUUGGUCAUCUGAAGCUCAGAGUAGGAGGGGGUGUAUUGAGGGAAUGAGACUACGAGGAGGCACACCCCAAUAUCUGCUGCUUUCUGGAAAACUCAGCCUCCAAAACUAAGUCAGCAACCAUAGGAGAUGGCCGUUGCAAGGUGGUUAAGCAUAAGGGAAUAACACAGGUUCGGAGCCAGCUUCUACCACCUCUUUCCUUUAACAGAGUUACAGGUCCUCCCUGAGCUCCCAUUUCUCAGGGGCCCUCCUGAAGCAGAGAAGGAAGCCACAACAUGGGCAGUCUAACUAGCACCAGCCAGAGAGCAGACACGAAGACGAAAGGAGAGGUUCUUUGUAAGGAACUUAGCCCUGGAACACGGCAGGUGCUUGUUAUGAGCUUGGCCUUGUAGUUAUCAGGGCACUUGGCAUCAUAGGCAUCACCCCAGCCACUGUUGGCAUGAAGACCUUGCAAUGCCAUCCUGGUUCCUGGACCCGGGCAUAUUAACGAUGAUGCCCACAUCUGAAGGACAAGAAGGUCUCAGUCGUGCAAUCACAGAGGAUUCACCUGGAGCUUCCCUGAGGAAUGUUCUUUUGGGCCGAGUCACCCGCUUGCUCCGGUGAGGCUGAGCUUGAGCUUUGAAUCCUGCCUGGAAUACAAAGGCCCCAUCAAACACUGCCAGGCUCACCAGCUCCCCUCCACCGCAUGCGCCAAGGGUCUCCCUCGCUUGGGUGUUUAUUUCUUGCUGUAAGAAGCGAUGAUUUAAUUCUUGCCUGGGAUAUCAUUCAGCCCAAGUUCGUGCUGAAGUGAGGCAUAUUUCAGCACUCACCAAUGUCCAUAUAGAUAAAAGAGAAAAAAAAGAGAGAGAGAAAACAACCUCAACCAGCCUCUUCAAGAGCUGUGCAUUUGAAACCUGUUUCUUAAAGAUGGAUUGCCCGUUAGGCUGCUAAGAGGUUUUUCUUGACUUGUCAACAUUUUAUGCCCCCACAAACAUUCUUGGCUAUAAAUUAUUCAUUGCCCAGUUAGUGGUUAAAAAAAAAAAAGCUGCCCGGGGCUGAGAUACUUUCUUAAUUCCCCCUCUGCUUUUCAGAUCCAAGUUGUUUUUGUCCCUCCUCCUGCUGGAAAAGUAGAAAUAACUGGAAGUCUCUGGACUCAGAGGUGCGUGGCUAUGGCCGGAUGAGAAAAUAGAGUUGAGUACAGCAUGAGCUUGGCUGGGGUCAGGGAUGGGGGCAAUUACAGUUUUGGGGUCAAGCCUGGACACUG
rnacentral:lncRNA from 10 species